AGAAUAGUUUUGGCUGUUGCCUGGGAACAUUGGCAUAAAUUCCAUUACAGAGCAACUGAGCGCACAGGAGAAGCAAGAGCUCAGAGAGGACUAUAUGAUCCAAUUUUAUGGGCACAUCAUACUCCUUGCUUGGACCCACUUCUUCACAGAUGAGUAACUGCCUUUCAGUAGCUGUUCCAGUUGCUAAACAGAAAGGCAAGUUGUUGCAGGCAGCAUCAACAUCUGUCUCCUUGGCAAAAAAUACUCCUGGAGUACAAAGUAAUGGUCCAUAACACUGCAGCUGACAAAAGCGUUACUUACUGAUAUGUACUGGACCAUUACCAUAGACUACCAGAGUACUAUUUUUCCUAAGGGUUACCAUGGAACCGAAUGGAGGGACACAUGCUGCGAGGAAAAUAUCGACUCCAGCCAUUGGUCAUGUCUUUGCAAAACUGCCAAUUAACACAUGAGGAUUUCUGGCUGUCUACUGUAGGGCUGUGCAAAGCUUCAACUUGGAGGAGAUUUGGCCUGAUUCGGCGGCCGAACCUCUGAAUCCAAAUCAAAUCAGGAGACCCAUUAAAAGGUCUGAAUCGAAUUGGAAGCCUCCGAAUUGAUUCAGAGAGAUUCGACACUGAUUCGGAGAUUCAGGCAUAGACUAAACAGGCAGCAGUCCUCGACCAUGCGGAACACAGUUGCCUCCAGCUGCUGGGAGAAGGUUGCUGAAAAUGCCUGAUCUGAGGGUACAAUGUCACCUGAAAUGUCUGGGAGGGACACUGGAGAAGAACCUGAGAUAGGUGAACUUAAAAAAAUCAGAGCUCACACUCACAAGGCUGCCUGUAGCUCUCCACUAAAAUCAAGGGUGCUACCUAGGUGGAAUCUACUCCUUACCUUGAAUAAAUUGAAAUCAAGAUUGCUCAAAGUCAAUGGAGCUACUCCAAUUUAUGCAUGGUGCAGGAUCUGGCCUGUCGUCCCCAUACCACCCGAGCCCCCUAUUGAUCUGGGUAUCAAAGAAAUGAGCUUGGGAAUUCAUGUUCACAGGAUAAGGCAGCCCCAAUAUCAGCUGGGACCCCUGGGCUCACUCAGAGCUUUUCAGAAGGUAGCAAUGCUCCCUCCCCCUCCCACCACCCACUUGUUCCAAUGUUUAUUGUGUUCAUAGAUGCAACUUAUAAACAUGUCUGAAGAAGGGUGUUCGUGCCCAAAAGCUUGCAAAGAACAAUUUUUCCAACAAUUUAGUUGGUCUAAUAAAAGAUAUCACAUCUACCCAAAGAAGCUUGUCUGUCU